AUUGAACGCUGGCGGCAUGCCUUACACAUGCAAGUCGAACGGUAACAGGUCUUCGGAUGCUGACGAGUGGCGAACGGGUGAGUAGAGCAUCGGAACGUGCCCAGUCGUGGGGGAUAACUGCUCGAAAGAGCAGCUAAUACCGCAUACGACCGAAGGGUGAAAGCGGGGGACCUUCGGGCCUCGCGCGAUUGGAGCGGCCGAUGUCGGAUUAGAUAGUUGGUGGGGGAAAGGCUUACCAAGUCGACGAUCUGUAGCUGGUCUGAGAGGACGACCAGCCACACUGGGACUGAGACACGGCCCAGACUCCUACGGGAGGCAGCAGUGGGGAAUUUUGGACAAUGGGCGAAAGCCUGAUCCAGCAAUGCCGCGUGCAGGAAGAAGGCCUUCGGGUUGUAAACUGCUUUUGUACGGAACGAAAAGGUUCUUUUUAAUAAAGAGGACUGAUGACGGUACCGUAAGAAUAAGCACCGGCUAACUACGUGCCAGCCGCCGCGGUAA
rnacentral:rRNA from 1 species